rnacentral:sRNA from 1 species
AAAACUACGGUCCAACAGGCCACGCCUACUACUUCACAAUGUCAUUCCAACGUGCCACGUGGCGGCUAAAUGGGCGGAGCGGAAAAGUGAUCUACACGUCGGCGACUGGUCCAUUGGUAUGGCUGACCACAUUUGAUACCACUUUUGCGGCGAGUUGUGGUGGGUUUUUCCAGACUUUUGUAAAUUUAAAAUGUUUAAACUAUUAAUCUUAAGAAGUUUCUGUAGUGAAUUUUGGUUUUUGAACCAUGAAAAUUGGUCCAGUUUGAACAAAGUUAUGGUGCACCGAAAGUUGGUGAAUCUCAAAGGUUUAUACUACAAACUAUAAACUACAAUCCUAAUAGCGCCUCAACCAUUUUUAAAACUACAAACUACAGAAUGAUGGUUGAAGCUCAGCUAGGAUUAUAUUAUAGUUUGUAGUUUGCAGUCUGAGCCUCAACCAAUCUUCGAUGCACCGUAACUUCGCUCCAAAUGAACCGAUUUUAACUUUUCAAAAACUAAGCAUUAUCAGAAAAACUCCGAAAAUUCAAAAAAUUUUCAGACAACUCCACAUCAGCGUCAUCAACACUUUGGGGUAUCGCCCAUUUCUCCUACGAUGUUCCGUUCGAGACCCGCCGCAAAUUGUACACUCAGGCGAUUAUGUACUCGCUGAGAUUUGCUGAUUUUUCGCCAUUGGAUGUUAGG